rnacentral:rRNA from 1 species
AUUGAACGCUGGCGGCAUGCCUUCACAUGCAAGUCGAACGGCAGCACGGGUGCUUGCACCUGGUGGCGCGUGGCGAACGGGUGAGUAAUACAUCGGAACAUGUCCUGUAGUGGGGGAUAGCCCGGCGAAAGCCGGAUUAAUACCGCAUACGAUCUACGGAUGAAAGCGGGGGACCUUCGGGCCUCGCGCUAUAGGGUUGGCCGAUGGCUGAUUAGCUAGUUGGUGGGGUAAAGGCCUACCAAGGCGACGAUCAGUAGCUGGUCUGAGAGGACGACCAGCCACACUGGGACUGAGACACGGCCCAGACUCCUACGGGAGGCAGCAGUGGGGAAUUUUGGACAAUGGGCGAAAGCCUGAUCCAGCAAUGCCGCGUGUGUGAAGAAGGCCUUCGGGUUGUAAAGCACUUUUGUCCGGAAAGAAAUCCUUGGCCCUAAUACGGUCGGGGGAUGACGGUACCGGAAGAAUAAGCACCGGCUAACUACGUG